GACGAACGCUGGCGGCGUGCCUAAUACAUGCAAGUCGAACGCAGUGGGGACGGGUGAGUAACACGUGGGUAACCUCCCAUCAGAGGGGAUAACACUUGGAAACAGGUGCUAAACCGAUACUGAUGGAUGGACCCGCGGUGCAUUAGCUAGUUGGUGAGGUAACGGCUCACCAAGGCCACGAUGCAUAGCGGAGCUGAGAGGGUGAGCGGCCACACGGGGACGGGGGCACGGGCCAGACUGCGAGGGGAGGCGGCAGUGGGGAAGGUUCGGCAAUGGACGAAAGUCUGACCGAGCAACGCCGCGUGAGUGAAGAAGGUUUUCGGAUCGUAAAACUCUGUUGUUAGAGAAGCGGUAUCUAACCAGAAAGCCACGGCUAACUACGUGCCAGCCGCCGCGGUAAUAC
rnacentral:rRNA from 1 species